rnacentral:rRNA from 1 species
UACGGAGGGUGCAAGCGUUAUCCGGAUUUACUGGGCUUAAAGGGUGCGUAGGCGGGUCUUUAAGUCUGUUGUGAAAGCCCUGGGCUCAACCUGGGAAUUGCAGUGGAUACUGGGCGACUAGAGUGUGGUAGAGGGGAGUGGGAUUCCCGGUGUAGCAGUGAAAUGCGUAGAGAUCGGGAGGAACAUCCAUGGCGAAGGCAGCUCCCUGGACCAACACUGACACUGAGGCACGAAAGCGUGGGGAGCAAACAGG